UUUCUGAGAAGGACAUCAAGAAAUCUACCCCGUUCAGGUUGCACUUUAGCUCUUCAGACAGGUCCAGAAGACUGGCCGUUCAGAAUACAGGAUGAAUUUGGAGUUGGUUUUGUGCUCCGACUGAAGAACAAUGGCCAGAUUUUAGAGGGAUGAAUGCUAGCCAGCAUCCAAAGGGACCAAACACAGCACGAGACUCAAGGAUUCCAAGCAGCUGACUCAGGCUUCAUUCAAAUUCAGCUCAUUUCCUUCUGGAGCCUCCGGACAUGCUCUAGCCAACCUCAGCAAAUAACUUGGAGGGACAUAUGGAGAAACAGAUCUUCCCCAAGAAGUUUGGGCUUGUUGCUUUCCAGUGCUGGUGACCUAUUCCCUUUGACGAUCCCUAGGUGGAGAUGGGGCAUGAGGAUCCUCCAGGGGAAUAGCUCGACACCACUGGACAAUAGCCCUAUCCCUGGAGAUUUUAGUGAGACACUUUGCUGAACCCAGCAAGGAAGAUAGAGUCAAAUAUAGCUACCCUACAUCACAAUAGG